rnacentral:tRNA from 1 species
GGGGAUUUAGCUCAGUGGUAGAGCGCUUGCCUAGCAAGCGCAAGGUCCUGGGUUCGGUCCCCAGUUCCG